rnacentral:snRNA from 1 species
UGCUGUCUUCGGCAGCACAUAUACUAAAUUGGAACGAUACAGAGAAGAUUAGCAUCGCCCCUGCACAAGGAUGACACACAAAUUCAUGAAGCAGUCCAGGAAAAA